GAAUUUUUGUGUUUUCAAGUCCAUCUUGUUUUUUCACUUAGUGUCAGAGCGGACAUCUUAACCGAGUUGUUACUCAACAAGAUGAAGAUCCUGUAAAGGAAGAUGGAUGCAUCACGAGAGGUAGCUUUUCUGCAACAGCCAAUUAUGCUUAGAGAAACAAACUAUGGUCAUUGGAAAGUUAAGAUGGGGCAUAAUAUUAGAA
rnacentral:lncRNA from 1 species